rnacentral:miRNA from 1 species
UGCGUGUUAUGUAUGUGUGCAUGUGUGUGUGUGCGUGUGUGUAUGUACACGUGAGAAACAGAACAAUAAAGCAAUGUCACAAGUGC